CUAGACGACACAUUUUGGAUAAUGGCUUCUCAACAACAAAAGCGAAGUGAUGAUACAAAGUCACAUAAUUUCCAUUCAAAUUUGAAUCCUGUUAUAUAAUGUUUGGGCAAGCUGAAAGUGAUUGAGAGGUGUGAAAAUGGUGGUGCGGAUAGAGAACCCAGUUGGGAGUGGUGGGAGUACGAAUACCCCACCACAGGAAAAGAUGAACCCAUUCCUGUGGUAAGUCCGAGUGAGCCCAUUGAAAAGGAUGGCGGUGCCCCACCUGCCCCUGGAGAGGACUUGCCAUCAUUGUCUGAUAAAGACAUUCAGAGGAUGGAAGAAAUGGAGCAAAGUGAGAGUGGGGUGUGGUCUGAAGACAUGGCUGAGAAUAAGCCACGACCAGGAGAGGUGGAGGAUCCAGACCUCAAAGAGAGACUUCCAUCUGACCGUGGCUAAAAAAUUAAUGGAGCUUAACUUUGUUGGUUUCAUGUACAUUUUUGUUUACUUUCUGUUUAGGAAUGUCUGGAACUUAAAAGGGUCUUUGUAAAUAAUUGUACAGUACCCAUUACCACAUGUAUCUAAUAGUAUUAUGAUA